rnacentral:ncRNA from 2 species
GACGAACCGUGCGAACGUUGUUCGGAAUCACUGGGCUUAAAGGGCGCGUAGGCGGCUUGCCAAGUCAGGGGUGAAAUCCAGCAGCUUAACUGUUGAAGUGCCUUUGAUACUGGCGAGCUCGAGGGAGGUAGGGGUAUGUGGAACUUCCGGUGGAGCGGUGAAAUGCGUUGAUAUCGGAAGGAACGCCGGUGGCGAAAGCGACGUACUGGACCUCUUCUGACGCUGAGGCGCGAAAGCUAGGGGAGCAAACGGG